ensembl:lncRNA
CAAUGCAACUUUAAACAUAUUCUAAGCAUAAUGAAACUGUAGUCUCCCCUUAUGUGGGAUUGGAAAUAAAAAUCGAAAACGAUCCCAUCUCAAUAACGUUUCCCACUAGACAGAUUUGUGAUCUGUUACUGCAUUUAGUAACAGAGGCUGCAUUUCUCCCCAAAGAAUUAACUCAAAAGUCCUUGACUCUACUGAAACGUAAUGAUCAGUGUGUAAUACACACCAGAGAAUUAUAAUUAAUAAGAGUCAUUUUCAUCUCUGUGACACAAUAAUUGUAGUUUUAUAGACAGUGAAUCUCAUUGGUUGGUUAUAAGUUAACCAACAUCUGACAUGUUUGUUUUAUAGAUACAUUUACAAAUCAGUAAUAUGAAGUUCUACUUUCUAACCUUCUGCUCUUUAAACUGUAGGGUAUCAGUGGUGCUUCUGGUCCGAUUGGUCCACCUGGUCCUCCUGGAUUGCCUGGUCCACAAGGGCCAAAGGGAUCCAAGGGUUCUUCUGGUCCUGCUGGUCAAAAGGGAGACACCGGCUCGGCCGGACCACCUGGUCUUCCUGUAAGUGAACUUCUGAUUGCUUUGAGGAGAUUUUAAUUAUAUAAAAUGCAAGAGGCUCAUGGAGCGUACACUCAUUAUCUGAUUCCAUAGGGUCCUCCUGGUGAAAUCAUCCAGCCUCUGCCUAUCCAGAGGCCCAAGAAAUCCCGUCGCUCCAUCGACAUGCAAGCGGACGAGGCCGGCACCAUGCUGGACU